rnacentral:rRNA from 1 species
AUGAACGCUGGCGGCGUGCCUCAUACAUGCAAGUCGCGCGAACAGACGAGGAGCUUGCUCCUCUGACGUUAGCGGCGGACGGGUGAGUAACACGUGGAUAACCUACCUAUAAGACUGGGAUAACUUCGGGAAACCGGAGCUAAUACCGGAUAAUAUAUUGAACCGCAUGGUUCAAUAGUGAAAGACGGUUUUGCUGUCACUUAUAGAUGGAUCCGCGCCGCAUUAGCUAGUUGGUAAGGUAACGGCUUACCAAGGCAACGAUGCGUAGCCGACCUGAGAGGGUGAUCGGCCACACUGGAACUGAGACACGGUCCAGACUCCUACGGGAGGCAGCAGUAGGGAAUCUUCCGCAAUGGGCGAAAGCCUGACGGGGCAACGCCGCGUGAGUGAUGAAGGUCUUCGGAUCGUAAAACUCUGUUAUUAGGGAAGAACAAAUGUGUAAGUAACUAUGCACGUCUUGACGGUACCUAAUCAGAAAGCCACGGCUAACUACGUG